rnacentral:rRNA from 1 species
CCUACGGGAGGCAGCAGUGAGGAGUAUUGGUCAAUGGCCGGAAGGCUGAACCAGCCAUGCCGCGUGAAGGACGAAGGUUCCAAGCAUUGUAAACUUCUUUUGUCAAGGGACAAAAUCAGGCUCGAGAGCCUGGCCGAGGGUACUUUAAGAAAAAGCAUCGGCUAACUCCGUGCCAGCAGCCGCGGUAAUACGGAGGAUGCGAGCGUUAUCCGGAUUUAUUGGGUUUAAAGGGUGCGUAGGCGGGCUGUUAAGUCAGCGGUAAAAGCCCGGGGCUCAACCCCGGCGAGCCGUUGAAACUGGCUGUCUAGAGAUGACGAGAGGUAUGCGGAAUG